CUAAGCCCCAGUGCUGUGGUGCGGUGAUCUGGGGACCAACAGUUUUAAUUUUUCUGGACCCCUUUGGUGGGCAUGCCCCCGGAUACUGGCGGCUAAGACCUUGGGUGUGGCAGCUGGUGUUAAGGGGAGUUGGGGAUUGGGAAUCCCCUCUGCUUCCCUACAGACACGCCCCCCAGGGAGAUUCCCGCGGUUUCCUGGCUGCUUGUAUCUGGAUGGGGUUGGAGUCACACACCUGCUAAAGUGGAUUCUGCUGGGAAGGAAUUCCGUCAGCCAAACUCCGGUGACAUCAACUCUCUGCUAUGGCGGGCCCCAGGCUCCUUGUCGGAGUGUCCGAAGGGAGGGGUGGGACUGGUCUGUCUCUGGUUGGUUUCAGCUCCCAGUUCGCUACUUCAUGAAGGCCUGGCUAGAGACCUCUUCCUAGAGUCCCUACGCUGCACCUGCUGGGCCGUGCCUCUGGGUCUAGCAGCCCAGUCGCGGGGGCCGCCUGCGGGCGGUCGCUGGCGGGCGGGCGGUUGCCGAGUUGAGUCGUGCGGGCAGCGGCUGGCGAGUCCGGACCUCUGCGCUGCGCUGCGUGGCGGAGAUUCACUCGUCUGGGGCAGACUGUCACUUCCCAAAAUCCUACCAAUUGCCGGCCGG
rnacentral:lncRNA from 1 species